rnacentral:pre_miRNA from 1 species
AGUGGAAUUGCUGGAUGAUAUGGUAAUUCUCUGUUUAACUUUUUGAGGAACUGCCAAACUGUUUUCCAUAGUGGCUGAACAAUUUUAAUUCCCACUAGCAAU